AUUGAACGCUGGCGGCAGGCCUAACACAUGCAAGUCGAACGAGUGGCGGACGGGUGAGUAAUGUCUGGGAAACGGCCUGAUGGAGGGGGAUAACUAAUGGAAACGGUAGCUAAUACAGCAAACCAUCAGAUAGUACGCGAUGGGAUUAGCUUGUUGGUGGGGUAACGGGUCACCAAGGCGACGCUCCCUAGCUGGUCUGAGAGGAUGACCAGCCACACUGGAACUGAGACACGGUCCAGACGCCUACGGGAGGCAGCAGUGGUGAAUAUUGCACAAUGGGCGCAAGCCUGAUGCAGCCAUUCCGCGUGUAUGAAGAAGGCCUUCGGGUUGUAAAGUACUUUCAGCGGGGAGGCGUUACCCGCAGAAGAAGCACCGGCUAACUCCGUGCCAGCAGCCGCGGUAAUUC
rnacentral:rRNA from 1 species